UGAGGAACAUGACCUUCGGCGGGGGAUAGCCGGCCCAACGGCCGGGUAAUACCGCGUACGACCACAUGGGGACAUCCCUGAGUGGUGAAAGCAGCAAUGCGCCGAUGGAGUGCCUCGCGGCCUAUCAGCUAGUUGGUGAGGUAACGGCUCACCAAGGCGACGACGGGUAGCUGGUCUGAGAGGAUGGCCAGCCACAUUGGGACUGAGACACGGCCCAGACUNUACGGGAGG
rnacentral:rRNA from 1 species